AGACAGGCAGUCACAAGCCUGGGGACUGCAGGCACAGUGAGGAAGGUAGGGAAGGGUCUCUCCAAGACAGGCCCACCAGGAGCCCCCACUGGGAAUAAUGCAGCCCCUCUCAGGGGAUGGAGUGUCUGGAAUUCCAUGGCUGAGGUGCAACAGGUGACUGAAGGUUUGAGGAGGCAACGCUGCCACUCACAGUCAGAAGCAGAGGGGAUGAGAUGGCCAGAUGUGAUUGGAAUCAGACACAGUGAGGUUUGAAUCCUCACUCUGUCCUUUUUGUUGUGUGGCCUGUGUGACAGGUCCCACAGCCUCUCCAGCCUCUGUGGGAAGAAGGAUCAUCUGAUGCCUAUGUAAUAGAGUUGCUGAAGGAGUGGAAGCAGCUUUGACAUUAUCAGUGGAACCCACCAGUGCAGACUGCUUCACCAAGGGCACCUGAGGCAGCAGAUCUGAGGAUUAGGGACGUAGGGAGCUGAAGCCUGGCUGGAGAGGUGGUGCGCACAAGAACCCCCACAUUCCCCGACAGGAGCCUGAAAAAGCAAGACGCCAUGUUGGGAGGACACGGAAGCAGUUCUAGGGAGAGGAGCACAUGGCAAGAAGCCAAGGCCUCCUGCCCACAGCCGCCUAGUUUCUUUUGCAGAUACCCUGUGAUUGCCAGCAAGUAAACCAGAUGCAAUUGUGGUUUCCGUGAAGCACAGCUGGAAAACUGCUGCCCCCACGGAGGAAGAGGAAGAUGGGAAGAUGGUGGUUACUGCACACCAGGCACCAGCCUCGGGGCUAUGAGCUGUACAAACAUUACCCAUUUUAUCCUCGUGACCAUGUUCUGAGAAGGCUGUCAAUGAUCUCACUUUAUACAUGGGGAAAUUCAUGCAGACAGAGGCUGACUAAAUUGCCAUGGUCACUCAGCUAGUAGGAACUGGAGCUGUAACUUGAACCCGGGUCUUUUGUUUCUGUGGCUCCUGGUAGCACAUGCCGGGCUUGAAGUGAGAUCCGGAGGAUGUUGGAAACAACGUGUUCCCCAUCAUGAAAGUCCUUAUGAUACCUUAUGAUGCAGAGUUGGCAGCCAGGAGCAGGGGCUUCCAGAAGCAUGGCUGACCCUUGUUGGGAUCUCGCUCCUGUGAGCCUUGGAACGUCUAGGGAGAAAGAGCAGCCAAAUUUAGAGCUGCAGGAGCUUUGAGAUGCAGCUCAGGCAUCAUCUCUGGGAAGUCUUUCCUGGAACCACAGCCUGGGCCCUGUACCUGAUUCCCAGCCCCUGUGGCUCUUUUUGCAUUUGCUGCCUCUUUUCACAAUUCUGUCUCCUUAUGUCUUCCACUCUACACGCAAGCCCCUUGAGGGCAGGACCAUGACUCAGUCAUCCUGUACCCUAGCACCCACCCUGGGUCUGCAUCUGGAAGGAGCUCACUAAGUGAUUAUUGAGCCAAACUGAACUGUAGCAGGAGUGAGCAAAGCUAAUUCAUGGGUGCAGAAUGGGAGCACAGAGCUGCCAGAAUCCAGAGACAACUGUAACUGUCCCGGCACAGGGGGCUUCAGGCCGCGGUGAGAGCCACUGAAAGCAAGAGAGCCAGGUGGUGGCUCAGUUCACACUGAGUCCUGCUGAAGAAAUAGGCACAUCGUGUGUGUUAAAAUCAGCACCCCAUGCACCUGUAGGAAGAGACUGAGGCACCCUGGAGGCCCCUCCCAAUAAUUAAAAGGCCCUCUGGGGCCUGUGGGAGCCCUAGCUGAUGAAAUCACAAAGGCCUCAGCCUCUAAAGUGUUUCCAGUAAAAUGCUACCAGGAUUUUCCUCCCUUAAAUCUGGAUGAAAGGGCUGUCUGUGCUACAAAGUGCACACCUGGCGUUGAUACGCAGUCUCUUGCUGCCUGUUAACUAACCCACCAGCCGACAAGUUCUGCCCACUGGCAGGAGCAAGGACUUAUAAAAAAUAGUGCCUCCCUCCCAAGGGCUUAUGAGCUGGUUAAGUGCAGAGGACAAAUAGAAUGAAAGAAAAGGCAAUCUCGGCAUAGUAUUUAGUUAAUUCUUCUCUCUCUCUUGUUCCCUCUCUCUCCUUUCUCUCUUCCUCCCUCCUUUCUAUGACUUGUCCUCUCCACACAACUCCUUUUCCGUUUUCCCUCCCCUGCCUCCCCACCUUCUUUCUUGACUUCCCAUCUUGCUCCCUUUCUUCCUGCCUGCCCAUCUGCUUUCCUUUCUUAUCUCUGGUGCAAAUUCUGCAUAUAGUCGCUCUCCUCAUUUCAUGACAGGCUGUCUUCAUCAGUUUCUGAGUUCUUUUGUUAUUUUAUAAAAUAUUUUACAUGCUGUCCUCAAAAAAUCCCCUCCCCCAGAAAAGGCCCAUUCAAAAGUACUUACUAUACGUCCUUAGAUAGGCAAUGAUCUCUGAAAUAUAUAUAGGCUUGCUCUAUAUGUGUUUUUGUAAGUGUACUUUUCUUUCAUUAAAUAUGCAGAUCUUAAUUGUACA
ensembl:lncRNA novel transcript